GCGCCGUUGGUGUAGCGGUAACACACAACCUUGAUUUCUCCUGCAAUGAAUACAUAUCCGGUUGGGUCCUGGGUUCAAGCCCCGGACGGCGCA